ACCAAGUGCACUGCAUUUAUGCACAAUGAGGAAUAUUGUAUAUCCUCUCUUUAAGUUGAAAUUUACGAAGCGUUAUAGUGUCAACAGGAGGUAUAAGAAAAAUUCUUUUCAAUCCGAAAUUCACGUUUGGGAAAUGGUGCAAGCCUUUGGUUGAAUAACAGAAUGAUAGGAGCUACAGAAGACAUGACAAAGUUAAGUAAUACCUCUCAGGUGCGGUCGUUUGUGUGUCGGAAACUGCCAUAUGUUUGACAAAACAAAUGUCACGCCAUUAGAAUAAGCUAGAGAUGAGGUAUAAGGAAAAACGUCAGGUAGAAGGGUUUAAUUAGAUUUUAAUUUGAUUUGUAAGCGCCCGUACCAUGUAUUGAUAAGUGCGCUGCAUUCAUGCACUAAGAGGAAUAUUGUAUAUGCUCUCUUUAAGUCGGAAUUCACGUUUGGAACUUCGGCGGUACUGUAUAUAUAUGUCCAGUUUUCAGAAGGGGGAGCAACACACACUAUGGGGAAGGUGAUACUGAAGCGCUGUGGACACUGUAACAAGAUAUUCUUGUUUGUCCUUCUCGACACCGGCGACAUACUUGUCGCCUUAAAAAUAACGGAUACUGUGGAAAAUUUAGCUGAAGGCAGCUAUAAGGCAAAGUUUGUUCGGUUACUUGACGAACCGGAAGAAGAAGAGGAAGUAUUAUACCAACGGGAGCCAGAAGAGAGAGACGAAGAGUAAACCUCUCCUGAGCUCGAUUUAAAAAAAAAAUGAAUAAACGAUUAGAAAGAAAUUUUAGUUGGUUACUUUUUUAUUUAUCAAAGUCGUUGGUGAGCAACGAAAUUGUUAUACUCCGUGUCUUAUAUGACUUUAUUAAUAUGAUAUUAAUAUCCAAAUCAUAUUGGUUCACUAAAGAUUGCAAAGCACAGCACAUAUGGAUGAUUUAACACGUAAAGUCCGAAUAAUGCAUUGGAUAUGACAAUUAAAUACAUGUACUUUACAGUUCGUAUAUACGAUUGUAGCAAGUUUUCAAGGUGUCUUCAGCGCAUUGGAAGCCGUCAGCUGCUGCAAUCACUUCAUGUACAAGUUGUUCGUGGUUUUGAGCAACGCGCUCAAUAAUGGCGAAAAUGUACGGAUCGUCUGCUACCCCUUUAGUAGAACAAUACAGCUCGUAUGCUCGCAGUAUGACGCUGUUUUGGAUAUGUUGAAAUGCAUCAUCAAUAAACUGAUACACUGAAAUCGACCACACCG